UGUACCUUAACCUCCUCCGCCGAAACCUCCCGUUCGUGAAAACCCUCUACCAAAUCCCUCCUCUGCGCCACCCGCACCUAGCCUCCUCCACUCCUCCCUGCCCGUCUAGCUUUCUCCUCCACUCCUCCACUCCUCCACGUCGCCUGCGACCUAACUUCCUUCACACAAAGGGGUCUUGCCGUUGCAAUAGGUUUCGUCGUUCCUCGCCGCGAAGCUGUCCUUCGCACAAAGGGGUCUCGCCGUUCCUCGUAGAUGCACCGUUCCUCCUUGCGACGCCGUCCUUCGCACAAAGGGGUUCGCCCGUAAUUAAGAAGCUCCUUCAAGCUAACUGUCAUCUGUCAUCUCCAUCGCCCGCAACCCUCGCGUGGCCAUCGUCGACGUCAGGGACUAGGAGAGGAGUUACGACGCCCACAUCGCAGGGUCACUUCGCUAUGCUAGCGGCACCUUCUCGGAGAGGAUGUCGGAUCUCCUCCACGCUGUCAAGGGCAAGGACACCCUAGUCUUUCAUUGCGCCCUCGCCCAGGUUAGACACCUCGUCUUAUGCUCCUCGUGACCUGUGGCUAUGGAAAUGCCCACUAAGUGCUUCUAAUCAGGACAUGCAACAGUAUUUGGACGAGAAUAAACAGUUGAUUCUAGCUAUUUAGACAAGCAAAAUGCUGGGAAAGCUGAAAAAUGUGUUGAGAACCAGGCUAGAUAUUUCAGAGGAAUCUCAUGAACCUUUCGGCCAUUGCAGAUAGUCAACAAGUUCCAACCAUGACUCAACUAUGCAUGAUCAUUGUGAUCAAUUAAUUGAGAAUUCUCCUUCCCAAAAGUGAUUUUUGGUAGAGGUUAGAAUCUUGGAAAUCUUGAUAAGAAUAAGACAGUCUUGUACAAUGUUUUUUUUUAAUGUUGAAAAUAAGUGUACUUGUUUACUUGUUUUCUCAGUUCCUAAGAACUAGUGAUAUAUGUAGGCAGCUUUAUCUUAAUUAUAAUAUAAUAAUUUAAUAUAUUG